GUAGCAAACGUAUGAAACAAAAAUCCUCUGUUUAUCUAAAGGCAGUUACUGUACUAUCAGCAGUGCAUCGUUCUCUGAGUUUGCCUUCAUUCAGCCAUCCCCAAGGAUGAGUGAGCACCCUUUUGAAUAAGAAGGCACCUCAGUUUCCAUGUUUAUUCAAUCCUGGGCCUUU
rnacentral:sRNA from 1 species